rnacentral:rRNA from 1 species
UACUCUUGACAUCCAGUGAACUUAGCAGAGAUGCUUUGGUGCCUUCGGGAACACUGAGACAGGUGCUGCAUGGCUGUCGUCAGCUCGUGUUGUGAAAUGUUGGGUUAAGUCCCGUAACGAGCGCAACCCUUGUCCUUAGUUACCAUCAUUAAGUUGGGGACUCUAAGGAGACUGCCGGUGACAAACCGGAGGAAGGCGGGGACGACGUCAAGUCAUCAUGGCCCUUACGAGUAGGGCUACACACGUGCUACAAUGGCCAGUACAGAGGGUUGCAAUACCGCGAGGUGGAGCUAAUCCCACAAAGCUGGUCGUAGUCCGGAUUGGAGUCUGCAACUCGACUCCAUGAAGUCGGAAUCGCUAGUAAUCGUGAAUCAGAAUGUCACGGUGAAUACGUUCCCGGGCCU